UACGAAGGGGGCUAGCGUUGUUCGGAAUUACUGGGCGUAAAGGGCGUGUAGGCGGUUUGUUAAGUCUGGCGUGAAAGCUCUCGGCUAAACCGGGAGAGGUCGUUAGAUACUGGCGAACUAGAGGAUGGUAGAGGCGUGUGGAAUUCCGGGUGUAGUGGUGAAAUGCGUAGAGAUCCGGAGGAACACCAGUGGCGAAGGCGACACGCUGGGCCAUACCUGACGCUAAAGCGCGACAGCAUGGGGAGCAAACGGG
rnacentral:rRNA from 1 species